GGUCAGCGACUUAUAUUCUGUAGCAAGGUUAACCGAAUAGGGGAGCCGAAGGGAAACCGAGUCUUAACUGGGCGUUAAGUUGCAGGGUAUAGACCCGAAACCCGGUGAUCUAGCCAUGGGCAGGUUGAAGGUUGGGUAACACUAACUGGAGGACCGAACCGACUAAUGUUGAAAAAUUAGCGGAUGACUUGUGGCUGGGGGUGAAAGGCCAAUCAAACCGGGAGAUAGCUGGUUCUCCCCGAAAGCUAUUUAGGUAGCGCCUCGUGAAUUCAUCUCCGGGGGUAGAGCACUGUUUCGGCAAGGGGGUCAUCCCGACUUACCAACCCGAUGCAAACUGCGAAUACCGGAGAAUGUUAUCACGGGAGACACACGGCGGGUGCUAACGUCCGUCGUGAAGAGGGAAACAACCCAGACCGCCAGCUAAGGUCCCAAAGUCAUGGUUAAGUGGGAAACGAUGUGGGAAGGCCCAGACAGCCAGGAUGUUGGCUUAGAAGCAGCCAUCAUUUAAAGAAAGCGUAAUAGCUCACUGGUCGAGUCGGCCUGCGCGGAAGAUGUAACGGGGCUAAACCAUGCACCGAAGCUGCGGCAGCGACACUAUGUGUUGUUGGGUAGGGGAGCGUUCUGUAAGCCUGUGAAGGUGGCCUGUGAGGGUUGCUGGAGGUAUCAGAAGUGCGAAUGCUGACAUAAGUAACGAUAAAGCGGGUGAAAAGCCCGCUCGCCGGAAGACCAAGGGUUCCUGUCCAACGUUAAUCGGGGCAGGGUGAGUCGACCCCUAAGGCGAGGCCGAAAGGCGUAGUCGAUGGGAAACAGGUUAAUAUUCCUGUACUUGGUGUUACUGCGAAGGGGGGACGGAGAAGGCUAUGUUGGCCGGGCGACGGUUGUCCCGGUUUAAGCGUGUAGGCUGGUUUUCCAGGCAAAUCCGGAAAACCAAGGCUGAGGCGUGAUGACGAGGCACUACGGUGCUGAAGCGACAAAUGCCCUGCUUCCAGGAAAAGCCUCUAAGCAUCAGGUAACAUCAAAUCGUACCCCAAACCGACACAGGUGGUCAGGUAGAGAAUACCAAGGCGCUUGAGAGAACUCGGGUGAAGGAACUAGGCAAAAUGGUGCCGUAACUUCGGGAGAAGGCACGCUGAUAUGUAGGUGAAGCGACUUGCUCGUGGAGCUGAAAUCAGUCGAAGAUACCAGCUGGCUGCAACUGUUUAUUAAAAACACAGCACUGUGCAAACACGAAAGUGGACGUAUACGGUGUGACGCCUGCCCGGUGCCGGAAG
rnacentral:rRNA from 1 species